GCCCGGCCCUAAACAAUCAACUUACAGCCUCAAACGCCUGGGAAUUACGAGCCACGCUUAAAACCCAAAGGAUUUGACGGUGUCCCAUCCACCUAGAGGAGCCCGUUCUAUAAUCGAUAAUCCCCGCUAUACCCAACCGCCCCCUCGCUCAUCAGUCUGUAUACCUCCGUCGAAAGCUUCCAUGUGAACGANNNNNNNNNNNNNNNNNNNNNNCGUCAACACGUCAGGUCAAGGUGCAACUUACGGGGCGGAAAGUAAUUGGCUACAAUUUCUAACCUAGAACAAACGGAAGGCUGUGUGAAAUCACAGCUACAAGGCGGAUUUAGCAGUAAAAAGAAAGCAGAGUGUUCUUUUUAACACGGCUCUGGGACGCGUACACACCGCCCGUCACCCUCUUCGACAGUAUCAUACCUAAGUCCAUAACCCAUUUUUUUACACCUAGAAGAGGCAAGUCGUAACACGGUAAGUGUACUGGAAAGUGCACUUGGAAUACACAAAAUGUAGCUUAA
rnacentral:rRNA from 1 species